rnacentral:rRNA from 1 species
CCGGUUGAUCCUGCCAGAGGUUACUGCUAUCGAGGUUCGACUAAGCCAUGCGAGUCGAAUGUAGCAAUACAUGGCGUACUGCUCAGUAACACGUGGACAACCUGCCCUUAGGUUGGGUAUAAACCCGGGAAACUGGGUAUAAUCCCCUAUAAGUCUCGGCUGCUGGAAUGCACCGAGAUUAAAAGCUCCGGCGCCUAAGGAUGGGUCUGCGGCCUAUCAGGUAGUAGUGGGUGUAGCGUACCUACUAGCCUACGACGGGUACGGGUUGUGAGAGCAAGAGCCCGGAGAUGGAUUCUGAGACACGAAUCCAGGCCCUACGGGGUGCAGCAGGCGCGAAAACUUUACAAUGCUGGCAACAGCGAUAAGGGAACCUCGAGUGCCAGGUUACAAAUCUGGCUGUCGAGAUGCCUAAAAAGCAUUUCAUAGCAAGGGCCGGGCAAGACCGGUGCCAGCCGCCGCGGUAACACCGGCGGCUCGAGUGGUAACCGUUAUUAUUGGGUCUAAAGGGUCUGUAGCCGGCCGGAUAAGUCUCUUGAGAAAUCUGGCAGCUUAACUGUCAGGCUUUCAGGAGAUACUGUCUGGCUCGAGGCCGGGAGAGGUGAGAGGUACUUCAGGGGUUAGGGGUGAAAUCUUGUAAUCCUUGAAGGACCACCAGUGGCGAAGGCGUCUCACCAGAACGGACCUGACGGCAAGGGACGAAAGCUAGGGGCACGAACCGGAUUAGAUACCCGGGUAGUCCUAGCCGUAAACGAUACUCGCUAGGUGUCGGCCACGGUGCGACCGUUGUCGGUGCCGUAGGGAAGCCGUGAAGCGAGCCACCUGGGAAGUACGGCCGCAAGGCUGAAACUUAAAGGAAUUGGCGGGGGAGCACCACAACGGGUGGAGCUUGCGGUUUAAUUGGAUUCAACGCCGGAAAUCUUACCGGGACCGACAGCAAUAUGAAGGCCAGGCUGAAGACUUUGCCGGAUUAGCUGAGAGGUGGUGCAUGGCCGUCGUCAGUUCGUACUGUGAAGCAUCCUGUUAAGUCAGGUAACGAGCGAGACCCA